rfam:Sulfitobacter geojensis strain EhN01 A2_Contig38, whole genome shotgun sequence.
UUUGGUGAUCAUAGCGAGAGCAAAACACCUGGUUCCAUCCCGAACCCAGCCGUUAAGUGCCUUAGCGCCGAUGGUACUGCGUCUUAAGGCGUGGGAGAGUAGGUCAUCGCCAAAC